UUCUCCUAGCUUUUGGGUUAUAAUCGCCGCGUCCCCCAUCUCUCUCUGCCUCCAUCGACGCAGAUGACGGUGCGAUCGCCGGUGUCCUUCCACAUCCCGCCAUGUCGCCAUCUCUUCCUCCGACACGGUUCUCCCCGGUCGCGCACCCUUCAUCUCCUCAAGCCCUUGAAGCACUCUCUCCGAUCGAGGCUUCUCAUCGCCCGUGCUGCCUUUCCGGGAAGCUCUAGUUCGGGUUCCAACGGAGAUCUCUUGCAGUCAGCCUCCCCUGCUGCGGCCUCCUCCAUUGUUGAUUUCCUUACGCUCUGUCAUCGACUUAAGACUACAAAAAGAAAAGGAUGGACCAACCAUGGUAUUAAUCAUCCAGAGUCCAUUGCUGAUCACAUGUAUCACAUGGCAUUAAUGUCAUUAAUCGCUGGUGACAUACCUGGUGUUGAUCGGGAGAGGUGCAUUAAGAUUGCCAUAAUUCAUGAUAUUGCGGAAGCUAUUGUUGGUGAUAUCACACCUUCAGAUGGUGUUCCUAAGGCGGAAAAGAGUAGACGUGAACAAGAAGCUUUGAAUGAAAUGUGCAAAAUCCUUGGCGGGGGAUUAAUGGCUGAUGAAAUUCAGGAACUUUGGCAGGAGUACGAGAAUAAUUCUUCUACUGAAGCUAGUCUUGUGAAGGAUUUUGACAAGGUAGAAAUGAUUCUUCAGGCUUUGGAAUACGAAACAGAACACGGGAAGAUCUUGGACGAGUUCUUUAUUUCAACUGCAGGAAAAUUUCAGACUGAUGUUGGGAAGAGUUGGGCUGCCGAAGUGGUAUCAAGAAGAAACAAGAGAUUACGUAAUAUGACUAACUAAAACAUGGAGAUCGAUGUGGGUUUAAAAUCAUUGUCAAAUAAUAAGAGUUCAAGCAGUUGCUGAACUGAACGAAAUGAAUCAGUUCCUAUACCGAGUCAAGGGAAGCAACUUCGAUGUAACUUCCUUGGGGCUUUCACUUGAAUCAUUCUCAGCAUGAUCCACCAAGGCAUGCAUCGCGUGUUCCUCAUGCGACGGCACAAAUUCGUGCUGUUUGAGGCCUUUUAUGCAUAAGUUAAACAAGCGUAUGCGGAAACUUCACAGAAGAGUUCGGUUCGGAUUGGAUUUUUUUUUUUCUCUGUUUUUUUAACUGAUUCAGUUUAAUUGGUUGAAUUGGCUGAAGUGAUCAAUUUUUUUAUUCCGAUUAAACUCCA